CAAACUUGGAUUAUGUGAAGGCCUGUACACUCCCCCAGAAACCUGAGGUCUGGAACAACAUCUUCAUUGGAAAUGAAGAGAUAGCAAGGGACCGAAUGAGACUGAAGGAGCUGGGUAUCCUCAAUGCUGCUGCCAUGAAGAAGAAGCUGAGGGUCUAAUUGGGAGUCCCACGGGAGAAAGACGGUUAAAAAACGGUUUAUACCGUUGCGAGUCUACUACAGAGGCACGAACAUCACUUAUUGUGGUUUGCCUACAACACGCUGCUUGAAAAUCAACAAAUACCUCUUGUCAGCUGCCAAAUUCAUGUCAAAUAUAUUCAAAUGGAUUGUGUGAAUUAAAUAAAAUAAAUGGGGUGAUUCUCAAUACUUAAAUUGAUGCUUUAGAUUUCUUUUCUCAGAAUUGUGAGAUAAACAAAAAGUAUUUAAAAGUAGUUUUAAAAAGUUAAUUGUGUUCUUUUGGCAUUGCAUUGUAAAACUCUUUCUAGUAUUUUUAAUAAUGUAGUUUAUCUGUGUCUUUAAAUAAACAGCAUUACUUGAUAUCAUAUUGGUAAUACAGCACUUCUUUAUAUCAUGUUGGUAAUAUAUAUAUAUAUAUAUAUAACAGAGGUGUGACUAUAUAUCAAUAAAAUAACACAUUGAUAAAAUGUAACUCUUUAUUUUAUGUUAGCCACAGACCUUAUAUAAUCAUAAAUCUGAAAACAUUGUUCUAAAACCCAUGGGAAAUUCCAGAGGGUUCUCUUAAGGUUUCAGUACUAUGUAAUCAGUUCUAGGUAAAUUGUCUUCUUAAUUUAUAAGCAUGUGUAUUUGUGUAAACAUAUGUGUGUGAAUAUGUAUACCACUCAUCCUUAAGGUUUAUGUAAAAUGUAAAUGCAUGUGUUCGUUCAGACAGAUUUUCAUAGCUUAAAUUUAUUUAAAUGUUAAUACACUCUUAGUUAGUUUUAUUUGGAAUAUACACUGUUCAAAGUUCCACCUUAAUUACUUUAUUCAAAUU